UCAGAGGGGAAUAACCCGGCCGAAAGUCGGACGUAAUAACCGCAUAAAAACAAGGGGCACCGCAUGGUGAUAUUGUUAAAGAAAUUCGCUGAUAGGAUGGGCAUGCGUUCCAUUAGGUAGGUUGGUGAGGUAACGGCUCACCAAGCCGACGAUGGAUAGGGGAACUGAGAGGUUGGUCCCCCACACUGGUACUGAGACACGGACCAGACUCCUACGGGAGGCAGCAGUGAGGAAUAUUGGUCAAUGGGGCGGGAGCCUGAACCAGCCAAGUCGCGUGAAGGGAAAGAAGGAUCUAUGGUUCGUAAACUUCUUUUGCAGGGGAAUAAAGUGCAGGACGUGUCCUGUUUUGUAUGUACCCUGAGAAUAAGGAUCGGCUAACUCCGUGCCAGCAGCAGC
rnacentral:rRNA from 1 species